rnacentral:tRNA from 1 species
UCUGAAAAUAUUCAGUGGUUAGAGCGUAGGUCUCGUAACCGAAAGGUUGCGGGAUCAAAUCCCGCCAGAG